rnacentral:lncRNA from 1 species
UGCAGCUUUUCACACCCAUAUCCCCCUAUGUCUGCAGAGGAGCCUGAAGGCAAUGCCUUCUCACAUUCUUUAUAGUCAAGCUUGGUCACUUCCCUGGGCCUCUGUGAAAUGAGGGGGGGUGGGUGUGGUGAUCACUAAGAUCCCUUUCAGAUCCAAAUCUACGAUCCUUCAUUUCAUCUAUCUUGCCCCUUUUUGCUUGGUUCCAGCUUUCUUUCUUCUCCCUCUGGGCAGAUCUCUCCUGACCUGAUGCAAGCUGAUGAAAUCAUGGCCUGUGGCCAGGAGCUGGUGAUUCAUUCCUCCAAUGUCUGACUGCACCUCCCUGGAGUGAGGGUGCCCAACUGCUCCUGCCCACCCAUGGGAGUCCUGCUGACAGAAUCCUGGUUCUCCUUCCAAAGACUUUUCAGCAAGGAUGCCUACCUAAUUCUCCCCCAGGGACAAAGAUUAUUUUCCUGAUUUUAUCAAAGAGGAAAAAAUGAAGCAAUUGAAAGCCUAAGCAACAAGUUUGGACAAUGAGUCAAAGGUGUUACCACCUAGACAAAGACCUUUUCUGGCUUCCCUUUCCUGGCUCCUUACUCUGGCCCUCCUAUAGGACAAAGAUCUGCAGGAUUUCUUUGGUGGACAUAAGCCCCAAUGAGGGAACUCCCCUGCCAAUGAAGAUGGGCACCUUCUUUGCACUAAUCACCUUAAGGAGGGGUUUUAACCUUUUUUGGGUCAUGGACCCCUUUAGCAGCCUGAUGAAGCGUACAGACUCCUCAAAAUAGCAUUUUUAAAUGCAUAGGAUUGCAAAGAAAACCAACAUUAAAAUUUUUUAAAAUUAAAAAUAAUUUAAAAAUUAAAAAACUUUAAAUAAAAAAAAUAACACAGUCA